AGCAGCCGCGGUAAUUCCAGCUCCAAUAGCGUAUAUUAAAGUUGUUGCAGUUAAAAAGCUCGUAGUUGAAUUUCGGGAUCAAUACGUCGGUCGUGCUUCGGUACGUACUGGCGUCAUUGGUUUCUCCUUUCUGACGAACCAUGAUGUCAUUAAUUUGGUGUUAUGGGAAAUCAGGACUGUUACUUUGAAAAAAUUAGAGUGUUUAAAGCAGGCUCACGCUUGAAUACAUUAGCAUGGAAUAAUGAAAUAGGACGUUCGAUCCUAUUUUGUUGGUUUUAGGAUCAACGUAAUGAUUAAUAGGGAUAGUUGGGGGCAUUAGUAUUCAAUUGUCAGAGGUGAAAUUCUUGGAUUUAUUGAAGACUAACUACUGCGAAAGCAUUUGCCAAGGAUGUUUUCAUUAAUCAAGAACGAAAGUUAGGGGAUCGAAGACGAUCAGAUACCGUCGUAGUCUUAACCAUAAACUAUGCCGACUAGGGAUCGGAUGAUGUUAAUUUUUUAAUGACUCAUUCGGCGCCUUACG
rnacentral:rRNA from 1 species